rnacentral:rRNA from 1 species
GCUCAGUAACACGUGGAUAACAUGCCCUAGAGUGGAGGAUAAUCUCGGGAAAUUGAGGAUAAUACUCCAUAGAUCAUGGAAACUGGAAUGCUUCAUGGUCGAAAGUUCCGGCGCUCUAGGAUUGGUCUGCGGCCUAUCAGGUAGUAGUGGGUGUAACGGACCCACUAGCCGACGACGGGUAUGGGCCUUGAGAGAGGGAGCCCAGAGAUGGAUUCUGAGACAAGAAUCCAGGCCCUACGGGGCGCAGCAGUCGCGAAAACUUCACAAUGGAGGCAACUCCGAUGAGGGAAUUCCAAGUGCUAGCACUAUUUUGUGUUAGCCUUUCUCAAGCGUAGAUAACUUGAGGAAUAAGGGCUGGGUAAGACGGGUGCCAGCCGCCGCGGUAAUACCCGCAGCCCAAGUGGUGGUCGAUUUUAUUGAGUCUAAAACGUUCGUAGCCGGUUCGUUAAAUCCUUGGGUAAAUCGGAAAGCUUAACUUUCCGAAUUCCGAGGAGACUGGCGAACUUGGGACCGGGAGAGGCAAGAGGUACUUGGAGGGUAGGGGUAAAAUCCUGUAAUCCUUCAAGGACCACCGGUGGCGAAGGCGUCUUGCUAGAACGGAUCCGACGGUGAGGGACGAAGCCCUGGGUCGCAAACGGGAUUAGAUACCCCGGUAGUCCAGGGUGUAAACGCUGCAGACUUGGUGUUGGGGACCCUUCGGGGGUGUUCAGUGCCGGAGAGAAGUUGUUAAGUCUGCUACUUGGGGAGUACGUCCGCAAGG